CAGGGACAUCUCAUAACAAAAGUCAUGAGAAACUGCAUUUUACAGAUCCUCUCUGAUAGAACUUUUCUUCCUAGACUUUACUUGGUUACAACUGGUAAUAGCACCUCAGGUUGGCUGCCUUCUGUUUCAAUCACCACAGGACUGGGGAAUCCUCUAACUUCAGCCACAUGGGAAAGAGAAACGAAGUUCACCAUAUCUCACAGUAAUAUGAAUUUUGCCAAAUUUCAUGGAAACAGACAGCUAACUUUUGAGGCUUUCAGGACACUUUUGGGUAAAUUCAGCUGUGAUAAGAGCAUCCACACAGGAAUGUAUUCCUCAAAAUGAAAAUCCUCGGUAAGCUCAGAUUUAAUUUGUUUUGUUGCUUACAGGACUGUGUGUUUUGCUUUAGUUGUUCAAUCUUUAUCUCAUUCCCCUCAGCUUCUGCCUUUCUUUACCUGCUGCCCUUCCUCUGUAGGGAAGGGAGAGCUGCAAUUUAUUUUGCUUAGGUGCCACGUCAAAAUUUGUGAAUAGGAGCCACACAUGCCCUGAGGCAAGGCAGUGACAGCAUCAGCGAUAAGAGAGAAAACUGUCAGAAAAUGCUAAAAUGCUUUGAGUUUGGGAACUUCAUUGACACAGACCACAGAGUGAUGAGAUAUGGGUAUCUCAUGGCAUGGAUAGGCAGCCGCAAGGAAUGAGGGAAGGUGGUAUUGAUGUACCAUGGUUGGAACCUGAAUGUGUGCUUAGAGAAAAUAGGGGGAUGGCAGUGGUUCAGGUAUGGUGUGAAGCAAACAGUAGAGUGUAUGUGAGCCCAGAGAGCAGAG
ensembl:lncRNA